rnacentral:tRNA from 1 species
GAGGAUAUAACUCAGUGGUAGAGCACAUGCUUGGCAUGCACAAGGUCUUGGGUUCAAUCCCCAGCACCUUCA